GGAUAGCAGUGAUGAGCUGAUGUACUACGUCGACCGCUGGCUUGCCCCUGACAAAGUUGAUGGUUCAAUCUGUAGAGAACUGCAGUACGGAAAGGCACCCCUAGCCUGCCAGUGUUAUGCUAUAAGAUUGCUGUGACAACAGGAAGUUACAAGGAUGCUGGGGUGGACAAUGCAAAUGUAUUACUCAAUCUGAUUGGUGUAGAUGGAGAUAUUGGCUUGAGGGACCUCACUGGAGCCAUUUCUAGAAGUAGAUUCCCUUGGCAGCCUGGACAAACUGACAUUGUUGAAGCCGUUUCUGUUGGAAAAUAAAUAAAAAUGAAGUGACCUUCGGCAGUCCUGAUCAAGAUACCCUUGCAUCAGUGUGAUGCUUUGAUUGGUGCAGUCAAUGAA